UUGACCUCGGAUCAGGUAGGAAUACCCGCUGAACUUAAGCAUAAAA
rnacentral:rRNA from 1 species